ACUUUCCUAUCACUUUUUUGCCCCAUGUAUUUACUCAGUGCUCUUGGUGAGGAACUAGAAGAACUUCCGGAGCUGGUUACUGUCUCUCCGGAGCUGCAUGGAACAGAGAUGCUGCAACUCAGAAUAUGUGACGUCUUAUUUCUUAUGAAUGAAGAUACAUUGGCCGUACCUGCUCUCUGGACACUUGACCAGAAGAAAUACUGGAACGUGAGCGUGAGAGUGAAGAG